UGGGGAAUUUUGGACAACGGGCGCAAGCCUGAUCCAGCAAUGCCGCGUGCAGGAUGAAGGCCUUCGGGUUGUAAACUGCUUUUGUACGGAGCGAAAAGGUCUGCCCUAAUACGGUGGGCUCAUGACGGUACCGUAAGAAUAAGCACCGGCUAACUACGUGCCAGCAGCCGCGGUAAUACGUAGGGUGCAAGCGUUAAUCGGAAUUACUGGGCGUAAAGCGUGCGCAGGCGGUUAUGCAAGACAGAGGUGAAAUCCCCGGGCUUAACCUGGGAAUUGCAUUUGUGACUGCAUCGCUGGAGUGCGGCAGAGGGGGAUGGAAUUCCGCGUGUAGCAGUGAAAUGCGUAGAUAUGCGGAGGAACACCGAUGGCGAAGGCAAUCCCCUGGGCCUGCACUGACGCUCAUGCACGAAAGCGUGGGGAGCAAACA
rnacentral:rRNA from 1 species